rnacentral:tRNA from 4 species
GUUUAAAUAGUUUAAAUAAAAUAUUGAUUUGUGGUGUCAUUGAUGAGAAUUAUUCUCUUUAAACC